rnacentral:misc_RNA from 1 species
GAUGAAGAACGUAGCGAAAUGCGAUAAGUAAUGUGAAUUGCAGAAUUCAGUGAAUCAUCGAAUCUUUGAACGCACAUUGCGCCCGCCAGUAUUCUGGCGGGCAUGCCUGUCUGAGCGUCAUUUCAACCCUCAUGCCCCUAGGGCGUGGUGUUGGGGAUCGGCCAAAGCCCGCGAGGGACGGCCGGCCCCUAAAUCUAGUGGCGGACCCGUCGUGGCCUCCUCUGCGAAGUAGUGAUAUUCCGCAUCGGAGAGCGACGAGCCCCUGCCGUUAAACCCCCAACUUUCCAAGGUUGACCUCAGAUCAGGUAGGAAUACCCGCUGAACUUAAGCAUAUCAGUAAGCGGAGGA